AACAGGGCGUCAUAGAGGGUGAGAAUCCCGUCUGGCGUCGUGGUAGGGCCCAUGUGAAACUCCUUCGACGAGUCGAGUUGUUUGGGAAUGCAGCUCAAAAUGGGUGGUAAAUUUCAUCUAAAGCUAAAUACUGGCCAGAGACCGAUAGCGCACAAGUAGAGUGAUCGAAAGAUGAAAAGCACUUUGAAAAGAGAGUUAAACAGUAUGUGAAAUUGUUGAAAGGGAAGCGCUUACAACCAGACUUGAGCCCGUCGGUUCCCCUUCGCUUCUGCGUGGGCUACUCCGGCGGGUCCAGGCCAACAUCGGUUCGGGUGGCUGGUCAAAGGCCCCGGGAAUGUACCUCACCUUCGGGUUAGGCUUAUAGCCCGGGGUGUCAUGCGGCCUACCUGGACCGAGGAACGCGCUUCGGCUCGGAUGUUGGCGUAAUGGUUGUCAGCGACCCGUCUUGAAACACGGACCAAGGAGUCGAAGAGCUAUGCGAGUGUUUGGGUGUCAACCCGUACGCGUAAUGAAAGUGAACGGAGGUAGGAAGCUUCGGCUGCACUAUCGACCGAUCCUGAUGUUCUCGGAUGGAUUUGAGUAAGAGCAUAACUCUCCGGACCCGAAAGAUGGUGAACUAUGCCUGAAUAGGGUGAAGCCAGAGGAAACUCUGGUGGAGGCUCGCAGCGGUUCUGACGUGCAAAUCGAUCGUCAAAUUUGGGUAUAGGGGCGAAAGACUAAUCGAACCAUCUGGUAGCUGGUUCCUGCCGAAGUUUCCCUCAGGAUAGCAGUAACGUUUUCAGUUUUAUGAGGUAAAGCGAAUGAUUAGAGGCCUUGGGGUUGAAACAACCUUAACCUAUUCUCAAACUUUAAAUAUGUAAGAAGUCCUUGUUACUUAGUUGAACGUGGACAUUUGAAUGUAUCGUUACUAGUGGGCCAUUUUUGGUAAGCAGAACUGGCGAUGCGGGAUGAACCGAACGUGAGGUUAAGGUGCCGGACUGCACGCUCAUCAGACACCACAAAAGGUGUCAAUGCAUCUAGACAGCCGGACGGUGGCCAUGGAAGUCGGAAUCCGCUUAGGAGUGUGUAACAACUCACCGGCCGAAUGCAUUGGCCCUGAAAAUGGAUGGCGCUUAAGCGUGCGACCUAUACCUCGCCGUCAGGGUUGACAUGAUGCCCUGACGAGUAGGCAGGCGUGGAGGUUUGUGACGAAGCCUUGGGGGUGACCCCGGGUCGAACAACCUCUAG
rnacentral:rRNA from 2 species